CGGGUGAGUAACGCGUGAGCAACCUGCCUAUGACAGUGGGAUAGCCUCGGGAAACCGGGAUUAAUACCGCAUAAAAUCGUAGAAACACAUGUUUUAACGGUCAAAGAUUUAUCGGUCAUAGAUGGGCUCGCGUCUGAUUAGCUAGUUGGUGAGAUAACAGCCUACCAAGGCGACGAUCAGUAGCCGGUCUGAGAGGAUGAACGGCCACAUUGGAACUGAGACACGGUCCAA
rnacentral:rRNA from 1 species